AUAGAACAUAGGUGAUUGAGCAAGCGUCUGCACUAACGUGGCACUCCUGGUGCUGAAGCUGGCCUCCAGACGACGUGGUGGGUGAGGAUCUGGACAAGGCUCUCCAGUCAUGGUGCACCGGCAGUUGCUCUGUAGCAUGUGGGAUCUUAGUUCCCCUACCAGGGAUCAAACCCGAAUCUCCUGCAUUACAAGGUGGAUUCUUAACCACUGGACCAGCGGGGAACAAGUGGCCUCUACUUGAACAUCUCCCGGCAUGGGGAACUCACCACCACCCUGGACCAUGAUUCCCACUUUCGGACAUCUCUGACAACACAACGAUUUGCCCUCCCAUUGAUCUAAAGAAGGAAGGAACUGCCUCCAGCCACAGAAAGAGAUAGCAUAAAGUGGUGGAAAGAGAACAGACUUUGAAGUCAGAAAGAAAUUCUUGAAUUCUACUCCCACACCUGUAAGCUUU